AUGGCUGUGCCAUCAUGGUGUGGGUGUGCACUGCGUUGAAGUUCACUGAACGGACAGAACUCUACGGGUCCUGGAUAUGAUUCCCUCUCGUUUACCAGCCAUAUAUGCACCAAGCUCUGUGUCAGAGGCUGCCUAAAUGGCGCCUUCCAUCAGCAAAGAAGAAUUAAUGAGGAACUCUGACCCUUUGGUAUGGGAUUUCGAAGCGUCUAGCAGUCAUAGUGAAAACACACAAAGGACUUGUGAACGUGUGUGGACUGCCUUAACUAGUCGUCUCUGCAAUGUUUUCAUCAUUGUGCUCUCUGUGGUGACAGGACUUGCCAUUCUCCUGAAGCUGCUAACAGACAUCCAGUUUGCACAGGAUGCAGAAAUUCAGCUGAUGUUGCAAAACUGCUCACUCAAUCUGAGCGCCGGUGGUGAUAGCAGCAGCAGCAGUGGAUCCCACAGUGCCUACCUGACAGUUGCAAAACUCGAAACGUUCGUAGCUCUUCUUAGCUCAUUGUCCUUGGCUGUGCUGAGCCUCUUUCUGGCUGAGGUGUUGUUGAGGGCAGUUGCUGGAAGAGCUAGGUUUUUUAUGCAAGGACCCGAGGUGCUGGAUGCAGUCGUGGUGGUUGUCGCAUUUAGCCUGAAUGUGGCCUCCCGGGUCUCACCAGACAAAGGAAGGCAGGCUGGUGCCCUUGUCAUAUUGCUGCGAGUCUGGAGAAUACAGCGGGUUCUUGACAGCUUGGUGGAUGUGGAGCGCACCCGUCUAAACUAUGUGCUGGGUGAACAAGAACGAGAGCGCACCCUGGCCCAGAACAAGGGCGAGCUGCUCAUCCUUCGAGUAGAAGACCUCGAGCAUGAAGUGGCCUACCUGAAGGAAAAGCUGAAGAAGACUGAAAAGGAGCAGGGGCGGCGGCAGCGGCGGCAACAGCGGGACUCUGGUUCUUCCUCCUCUUCAUCAGGAAUUUGCUGCAGACAUCCUGUCACCAUUGGAGUGGAGACCUGUCCAAUAAUCAGGGCCUCCAAAGAAACGCAGACUGACGCACCAGUUAAGCUGUGUGAAGUUAGAGUUGACCAGCACAUUAGACAAACAGGCGUGGAAGCUUUUGCUUCAAGUCUUUCUUGGGGUCUGCUUCUGGAUGCCCUCUCUGUCCGCCAUGACAGGCAGCCUGAGCGGCUGACCCUCUGUGAGCCACCAAAGGGCCCUCCUCCAGAGCUGCCGAGGCAGCAGAUUCGAGCGUGCAGUAGCUUGAAUCAGGCUGCAAGUCAUGCAGAAGGCAGCCCUGCCACUGUUGUGCCCCGCCGUGCCAGCCACACAGUCCUCUUCAGCAGCCUGGAUCGCUUCAGCGAAGCCGAGCACACAGAGAGCCCCGAGAGUGGUUAUGGAUCUGGCUGCAGGUCGGCAACUUCCUUAGGCAGUUCUGCCACAGGCCGACCCUUGAGCAGCCGAUCGGCCAGCGUGUUUCUAUUUCCUGAUGCUGAUGGGCAGCCUACUCUUGAGAUGAGCACGUUGGAUGAGGCCCUGGAAGCAGAGCCUCAGGCACCAGUGUACUUAGAGGAUCUGGAUGAUGACAACCCAAUGACAUCACUUUGAAGGUGUGCCUACUGAUUUAGGCCAGGAGGGAGGAGCUUCUCAAUGGAUAUUCAUCCCCAAUGCCAUCUUUCAAUGGCAGGAUCCACGUGCUGCCCCAGAGUACUGUCAUGUCCUGCAUAAGUGUGGAGACACCCUUACCGUGAAUACCUUACCCAUCAAACCAGCUCAAAAUUAUGUCAACUAUGGCCUCUCUGAUCAGGGUUGCAGAGUUGUAUGCUAGUUCAGGGAGUAGUUGUAUGCUAUCCUUGUUCAGGGAGUAUGUCUUUUUCUUAUUAUGUGUCCUUUCCUAAAUAACUUUUUAUCAAUAUUUAAGGCAACUUUAACUUUAAGAAGGUUGACAAAAAGAAAUUGUACAGGGAUUUACAUGUGCGAGGUGUCGAAUCAAAAAUGCUGUCCAGUUCAAUUUGUGUUCAGAUUCAGAUCUAUGCCUUUCUGUUUUUUUCAGGGUCAGUCUUGAGUGAGAGGAUAAUAGUUAAAGACAGUCAAGGGGUGUUCAAAUAGUGCCAAUUUCUGGAAAGUAGAACCCACUCUAUUAAUGGUAAUUAGAGCAGUCAUAGGCAAGUGGACUAUGAGGUGUCUUAGUGGUGGUUGUCUGAGGCUGUGAUAUGGGCUCAUUGGAAUGUUGACGUGAAAGCAUUUGUAUGGCACAUCCAGCACGUAGACACACACAUAGUGCUUUAUGUGUGUGACCUCUUAUUCAUCUAUGUUUGUGUUCUGGUUGCACUAAUUGAAUGUUUAUGGCAAGGUAGUUUGGGAGGGCACCAGAUUAAUGACUUUCAUUCUGCAGUGAUCUCAGUAACAUUGAGCAUAAAACAGCAGCAUGGAAUGCAUUGGUGUUUCACAUAGUUCUGACCUACAGCAUGUAAUGAAAAUUAUUAGGGAGUAUGGCUAUAAGGCAGUCAAAGUAAACUGCAAUUUACUCUGAAUAUGAGUUACGAUGUACAUAUAUAGGGUCUGUUACUCGUUCAUAAUGUGUGGGUCAACGCUUUCACAAAACAUCAUGCCGUGGUAUAAAAUAUGUUGUGUGUUCUGUUGAAGCUGGAAAUGCAUUGGUGCUUUCAUUGCAUCAUCAGUGCUGAACUUUAUUCUGCUAAGAACACCAUGGUCCAGAGAAAUUAAGGUAUUGAGCGUGCAGUUAGGUGAUAUUUCCCAUCAGGACAUUGGACCAGUGUGUACAGAUAUGUUUAGUGCAGGGCAAAACAAUAUCUGAAACAACACGUUAAGUGAUUAAGUGUGGGCAAAUAAUGGAACGCGGCCUCAACAGUUUAUCAAGGGCAUUUGUCUUUGUCAAGGCCAACAUUAUAAAGACAUUGUUUUGACAAGUACCCAUUUCAAUAUGAUAGCUCCAGGAAGAGAUUUGCCUUAUUCUCCCAGAGUUAUUCAAGUCUUGAUCUUCCAAUGGUUGCUUUGUUUUGUUUGGGUAAUGCUUAAUGAGCCUGUUUUGAUUUAUUGCUGUAUAGUAUGGCAAUACUGCAGUUACUUUGACUGGUUCGUGGAACACUGGUGUAUUUCACCACACAUUUUAGUGGCAGAUAGCUCAAAACUGGUGCUUCUCUGAGAUUUCCGGCUAGCGGACAUGAUCUAACUUUGACUGGCUCUGUCACAUGCGCCAUAGAGCGGUGACAUAGUAAUUAAUUAAAUGCUUGUUGCUUAUUUUCAUAAAUUGAUAUCUAAUUAACGUUACUCAAUGUUUUAUGGCCUUGGUUACAACGUGUGUUGCAAAAAAAUUUUCUUUGUUAUUCCUACUGUACUAUCUUUUAAUUGUUUCAUUUUUUCACUUCUGCUGACACAUGCAGCAUAUAUAUUUUAUGUGUAGUUUAAUUUCCUGACAAAUAUCAGCUUGGUUCACUUAAGCAAUAGAAAAAUAGCAGUUUGCUUACGGUUCGGUUCGACACCUUGCAUGCUUCAAAGUCUAGCUGCCCAAUGUUGGGCCUAAAUGCCCAUGUGAAACAAGAUCCCUUCAUUGGACAGCCUUAAAGGACGAAAAUCGGCAGAAAUAACUGGCUUCUUUUAAUCAAUUUAUCUUGUACUUUUUCUUUUGAAUAUCUUAUUGUCUGCUUAUUCUUGUUGUUCAGCUUUCAGAAAAAAGGAGAAGCACAUAAUGCAUUUUUCAUGCUGGAUUGGUAACUCUGCAGUCCUGCUCUUGAGCCAUUUCCAUUAUUUUUUUUCUUGCACUGUUGAACCAACAAGCAAAGACCAGGUGGUGCUGGUAUACAGAAGUGCUUGUAUAUAAUACAGGGCUGGUUUGUCAGUGCUGGUCAUUGACACUACUUGUCUCUGACAGUACCCUGUAGCAUUGCUGACAGCCCUGUGACAUAGUGACAGCAUUGGUCUAUGGCAUUGCGCACCAUUGGCUGUGCUGGUCAUUAGAGGUGCUGGCUAUUGACAGUAUUGGUCUGUACUGGAGACACUGCUGUCAGCCUUGUAGAUCAGCACUAGUCUACAGCAGAUUUAUGACAGCACUGGUCAUUGACAGUGCUGGUCUACGACAGCCUUGGUCUGUGCCACCGCUGAUAUACAGUGGUUCUGGUCAGUGAAAGCACUGGUUUAUGGCAGUAGUUGCUUAUGGCAGUUCUGGUCUGCAACAGUGCUGGUCUAUGAUGGUGCCAAUCUGCAGCAUAAUGUUUUGUUGGUACAGUUGCCUCUACGAUCUUCGUGUGUCUCCAUGGGUGCUUUGUUCUGCCGUGUUUCCUGUUGCACUAGUCUUACUUUGUUCUUUUGCCAGCCUGUGGCUGGCUAUCUUGCAGAGCUUUGCAUGACGCUGAUGGGAAUUCUUUGGUGCAAUAAUCUGUGCAGUAUAUAGGUGAAUUGUAAUGGGAUAAACAAAGGCCAAUAUUAAAUCACGCUGUACUGCCAGUUGGUAGAUUACUAAUUCAAGCCUCUUAAAUGUUUAUAUAGAAAAAAAAGAGAGAAAUGUGGCUUAUUUGUAGCGGAACUUGUGAUUGAAAACCAUGCUGCUAUUUCUUCCUCUCACACCCAAAAUGCAGCAGUGAUAAUUUUAUUGCCUGACGAUGCUUAUCUUGUAGUCCUUUCUUCUGGAUUUUGGAGGCUUUUUUUCUGCACUACUUGCAUGCAAAAUUUGUGAGCUUUUAUUUAGUUUUCAAAUGCAAUGCAUUUUUACUUUUCUGUUCAGCACUUUCAGCAGUUUGACCAGUAGUUGCCAGAGUAGAUGGUCUUGCUUUGCAAGGUGAACGAUGAUGCCACUACCAAUAGUAUAUUAUAUUAUUUCCUGAUAUGCCAAAUCUUAUGUUCUUAAUAAGAGAGAUAUGCUUACUGUUUCACGCUAUCUGUCUGGCUUUAUGCAAUAACUUUGUAGAUCGCAGCUUUUAGGUAACUGUUCCUGUGACGAACGUUGGUGUCGGUGGCAGCGUAAUCGCACAAACAAGCACAGCAAAACAUGAAAGCGAAUGCGGAGCGCAGUAGUGAUGAAAUACGGGAAGAGGAAAGCGAGAGGAGGGUGCAGCAGAACCAUGAGGCGGAAAGCGGAGGAGGGUAUGGCAAAAGCAUGAGAAAAGCUUAAUGCAGCGACAAUGGCUAUGAGAUGGUGCCGGAGUAGUGCGCAGUGUCUGAGAGGUCGGGCGGCGGUGGCAGCUGUGAAUCACUCCCAUGCAUCACUCAUGUGCUGGCUCUCGCAAUCUCUAGAUUAGUGAGGCAGUCACGCCGUACUUCGCUCACUUUGCAACAUGUCACACGAGACAUUGUCCGCGCCAGUCAAUAUACCGCAAAAUGAAAACACGUACAGAGCUGCACUCAAAUUUUGCAUUAGGGGGUAUCGUAAUCAUUGAACUUUUUUGGUCUCCCUUUAAUGACUUCAUUUAGAAUACUCAGACAUGCACUUUUCUCUUGGUUGCAAUGUUUAUGAUUUGUUUUGUUUUUUCUCCUAGUGCACUUUCUUCCUAGCUGUCCAGUAGCUGACUAAAGGUAAGCUGGGUGGCGCGGACUUCAGUAAUCAUGGCUCGUUGCUAAACUGAUUGAAUGCCCAGGUAUUCAUGCUUUGUUGGGAUGUUCGACGUAAGCGGACUCAAGCCAUAACCAGUUCAUGGUUGGCCUCUCUUUUUUUCAAAAUAUCGUAGCAAAAUAGUUUAGAGAUUUUUAGUCUGGUCAGCAUUGCUACUUUGGAGGCCUUGUACACAAAGCAUGAAAAAACAUGAGUAGGUUAAGCUGCUCAUAGCACCUGUGCUACGGGGUGACCAAACAAAGUCAGAAGGAGGAGAGCGUGGAAAGAAGGUGUAAUAAAAAGGAAAUAUUGAUGAGCUGCAUGUGGGGAAAAAGAGAGCAAGCUUGGUGCAAGGAACCGAAUUUAUAUUGCAUCAUCACUGUAUGCAGUGCAUUGAGAAAAGUGCGGCUGCUAAGAGCCCAUUGUAUUUAUUUAUUUAUUUAUUUAUUUCCGAUAUAAUACAGCACCAGCAUAACAUUAUUGUACGGGAAAUGCACAUAUGUGUGAGCACUUGGCCGGGCUGUAAGUAUUAUAAGGCCAAAAGUUGUAUGUCUCGCAGGAUAGGCUUUCAUAAAGCUAACCAAAAUGCACUGGGCAGGCUUGUGUAGCUCACCUCGCAAAAGCGAAAGGGGAGUCGCAUAUAUCCUAAACACGCACCCAAGUAGCCAUCAGCGUAAGAUGGUGCUGAUAGCACAGUGCCAGAGCCAUCCGGUUGUGGCUGUCAUAACCGUAGCCAACUUGUCCUUGCUUGUAUGCGAUUCCCUUGCAGAGAGGGAACAUGCAGGGACAUGCUAAGGCCACAUAAAUCUUUGCAAUGCUGAAAAUACUGGUACUUAUGUGGCCUAAAUAAUGGUGGAGGCUGUUCUGUUAGCAUUUUCUGAACUUUCUGUCCAGUUCACAUCAUGAGCUUGUGCGGUGGAAGAUGAUGGAGCAACCUUCACAGUGCUCUUGCCUAGGCUGCAUACUCUCAAAUCAUAGCUGGGCAGUUAAUGUGAUAGUCAACUCUCAAGCUACGGGAGCUGUAACAUGAACUUCUUGCUAGUAAAAUUUGUUAGAACGACCCACUUUACUUUUUGUGUCCUGAUGUUAUGAUGUCGUGGCAAUACUUAUGGAAACAGAAAAGCCCAAAACUAAAUCAUUCUAUAUUUUUAAGAAACAUCCUUAAUGUGUAGCAUUCCAAUUCAGUUUCAGAUAUUCCAUUUUCUUUUGCACAUUACAUUACAGCUUUGAGCUGGGAAAGAUUAAAAAUAUGACAGGUUUGUCACUUCAACCAAUCACACCGGUGAGCUGGCCCCUUUAGGUUAUAGCUUAGCUUUGGAUUCCUGAAAGGCUUUGGACCAAGAAAUACUCAUAGCUUGGCUGGCAGCUGUGAGCCUGUGUACAACCAUUGUUAAAAGAAAGAAAGCAACCAGGCUGCACUGUGUCGUGCCCGUGGAACUCUUAUCGCUAGAAAAGCUUUUGAAGGUGGGCCUCCCUCUCCAGAAAUUUUUAGCUGUGCAGUCGCCUCGAGAAGCUGACUAGGCAUUCCUUGGUCAGUGGGCUGUCAUGUGUGCUGUGACUUCAUUUCUUUUGGCAAAGUUUUUACAUGUGAUUCAGAUGCUUCUCACUACUCGACGAUCUGCAUGGAGGAGCAGGGUGCAUGUUGCUUUUGUGUAACAUGCUCCUGUUCAUGUUGCUUAUGAGGUACCUUUCGAACACUGUAUUUCCUGAGCCUUGCUUUGGUAUGGUAUGCAGCUGCAGCAUGCAUUUUCACUCUUGCAUGCUCAGUGUGUACAGUAUUCAGUUCACUGUUUUCAUUGUUGAGCACUCCACGAUAGAUACACUUUGUAAUUUGGCAUAUUCUAAAUGUCACAUGAAAAUGAAUACCAGCUAUACACGACUUUUCUGGUUAAACUGCUGGCUUAUUCAUGCAUAAAUUUCACAUGAAGGUGGCUCCCUGCAGUGUACGCAGUUUACUAUCAGUGAUGGAAGUGCUGCACCAAUUGUGUCAUCCUGUGGCAAACAAUCCAAGUGUGCUAGCAUGCUCCAGAACACUUUUAGAAUUAAGUCGCUAAAUUUACCAAAGAUUUGUGCGUUCAGUAGCAACCACACAGGCGUGGCUGUGCAUUGGCUAGCGUUUUGCUCUCAAAGCCAAUCCUGUGCAAUCCUUUGGAGGUUGGUGGGUGUUUGAUGGUACAUUCAAACUUGUCCACUGUAAAAUGAGGAAAAUGAAUUGUUUUUGUGCUGUGCAAUAUAUUAUGCAGUUUUAUAAGUCUGUGUCAAUAUGAUGCUCUAUUUAUUGGGCAAUCUGUAAGCAAAGCCUUGCUGUCAGCUCAGCUGUACGGUUUCUUCUGCGUGCAGCUCAUCGGUUUAGUUAUUGUUGUACUUUUUAGUGCUAAUGACGAUGAAACUACAACAUAUGACGUGCUUGCUUUUGUUAAACUUCUUGACUCAGUAGUUCUCCAGUGGCAGCCAUGAUUGUCACUCAAAUUUGGAUUCCACCAACCAAGUUUAUAGCUUGACAGCACUGUACGAAACCAGAUUAUUACCACUGCAGAACACAACUCAGGAGUUGCAAAUUUUAGCUUUAGUCGAUCUAAAUGGAGACAUGACAGCACAUACGCUUUGUUCUUAGCAUCUAUGUUAACGACAUAGAGUAAAAGAAAAUUGAAUAAGCUAUUGUUAGGCAUUCAGUAUAUCAGUUGCUGUUAUGUAGUACUGGCUUUAUGCGGCUCGUGGUUUUGCUGCUGAAAAGUCAUUGUGAUGAAGCACAUGCAAAUUAUUGACAUUUGAAAAAUCUCUCAGGGGCUGUGCAGUCCUAGGAUUUUUGUUGUGGAUGCAGAGUGAACAUUUUUGUUCUGAAUCUUAUUAAAAAAAAUCGGUGUCCCACAAUUGAUGUGGAAACUGACAAACAUGCAAUAACUUCACAUUUAGCUUGCCGUGGGUAAUGUGUAGCUGAAUACACUGUUCUGCAAGAUCCAGUAAAGAACAUCUGAGCCUGCCUGUAUUGAAAUCUUGAACUCUACCCAGAUGCUUCAAAAUGCAAUUCUUCAGCUCCAAGCCUGCUUCAAAGUGGCAAAAUUGCUGCUCCCUGAGCUACUCCAAAACAUCUUUGGUCACUUCCACCCCUGUGCUAUGUUGGAUGCAUUAGUGGUCAGUUUUGUUAAGGAUAAUCAGGAUUAUACAGUCAUACGCAGAGAUGCUAGGCAAAAAGAAAAUAAAUUUUGCAUAAUAGGGGUGCCAGCUUUCAUUGAAAACCAAAGUGCACCGUGCACUGUGUUUUGCCCUAACAAUGACAGAUGGCACUGCCAUUGUUGCAGUUCUAGUCUUUUCUCCUUAAUUUUUUUAAUUAUUAUUUUUUAAGUUUUGUCUUUUUACCUUAUAGUCUGAGUGUAUUACUCCCCCAUUAUGAAAAGCAUGGCUGCAAGUUCAGUUCAGUGAAAUAAUUUACAUUGUUUAGCAUCACUGCAUAUCACCACAUGUUCUGAUUUAUUCUUAAUGAAGCUGGCAAGCAAUGCUACCAAACAUAAUAUCAAACCACAUGGUCUGCAAACUACCACCUUUGUGUAAAAUUUGAAUGUGAACAAGCUACGGGUUUAAUAACCCGAAAAGUUGUGCACAGCUGGCACAGCUUGUUGUACAAUGUUUGUUGUGUAUCACAUUGGAGUAAAAUAAGGUCAGAUGAUAUACCUGUGGUAAAAUUUGUAUUUUAUUUUCUGUCCUGACAAGUACAAAAGCAUAGCAAGCAAUGCUGCUGUUGUAGUUAUGGCUCAGAAUUGAUUGUGGUGCAUCUGUCAAACACUUACUGGUAAGGUAUCACUUGGUAUGCAAAGAAAAUAUCCUUGAGUGUAGAGGCUUAUGCUUGGUGCCAAACAUCUUGGGAACUUUCAAGCCGUCCUAUACACAUGAGUGCACAAAUACUGCAUAUGUGACAUCUGAUGUAUUCAAACUGCUGACAUAAUGCAUGUGAAUCAAACCAGUAAAGUGUUACAGGUUUGCUUUAGCAAGAAGAAUGUAUUUUCUCUGUAUAUUAAUCAGUGUGCUGUUAAGCUGAGAGUAAUGGGAAUUUAUUAAAUGUUGAGAAUGCUUAAAACUUUUCUUCAGCUAAUAUGCUGAUGAACAUGUCCAGCAAGGUAGUUUUUGUAUUUGUUUGGAGCAUUGAAGAAGCUUGAUUCAGGUGUCCCACUAUGCUAGAGUGUCAUUCACACUUGUGCGAGACUUGUGCUAGCUCAUUGAAAGCAAACGAAGUGCACAUAUAUUUUUAUUGCUGAGCUAUGCAGCCUUGCACUUAAAGCUAGAGCUCCCUGCGUCUAAUAACCAUUCCUGAUCCUCAGGUGCCAUGCUAGUGGUAGACAGUGGCUGUUGGUGCGGGUGCUGACUAUUUUUGAUGCACAAGUAUGCGAGUGACAAUUUCAGAGCUAGUAUUCGAUUUUAUCUUCUUUAUAGGGCAUAACAGAGUUGUAGUGAGUAUAAUAAGACAAGCACUAGGAGUUUGUGUAUCUUCGUGAUUUAAGUGGUCAAGCUUAGUGGCCUCCAGAGAGAGUGUUCUGUAUCUUUGAUUUAAUAGGGCAUAGACGCAUUGCAACAAGCACAAUUAAUGCAUAGGUUGCAAAUUAUUGUGGCACAAACUGCAAUUAAUGCUGAGCCUGUCACAGUACUAUCAAAGUGCAGAAAUGAGCUCUGUGGGGGUGAGCAGGGUUAAACUCCGAUAAAAACUGUGCUGACAGACAAUUGGGGCCUCUGAAGUCCUGUGGCAGAGACCCAAGGUGCAGGAAUAAGGAUCACAACUGGGGUCUGCAUUUCCUGUGACUACUCAAAGCAACAUUGCUUGUGUGCAUAUGUUCAAAGUGCAUGAAACCUGAUAAGGUGCACAUAGGGGGCUUGAGGGGCAACCAAGUAGGAGUUUAUCCCCAUAAUUUACAGUAAUUUGAUAGAACUCAACUCAUUUAUCCAUGUAAACAUGCACACUAAGAUGUUUUGAGCACAGAGUGUGAUGAAAUGGGCUAAAAAGGCUCAGUUAAUGCAUUGUAUAAGUGGCAUGGUAUCCUCUUUGGGGUCAUUAUCUAUUCAUCACAUCUAUUUUUGUCACUGUCUUUAUCUUUCUUUCUCUCUCUCUCUCUCUCUCUCCAGUUUAUUUUUUCUCAAGAGACUUCUUGUGCGUCCUGAAGGACUCGCAAUUUUCCUUUUCUUUCUUUCUGCACAACGUGUUUGUAAGCAACUCCAAAGUUAUCUGUUAACUAACUUGGGAGCUAACAUUGUUUUUCAAGGACUGCACCGGGCAAAGAAAUUGUCUGUGUUGAUAACACAGACAGUGUUGGCAGGAAAUUUGUCUACAUUGACAAAAAAAGCAUUGGCACUUCGUCUGCAGGUAACUGUAUUUUACUUAUUUAUGUGCCCUUGUGGUCAAUUGAAGUUAUUGUUGGUGUUGUUUCACUCUUGGCACCAUAUGUCCUCCUGUCUGCUUCCCUGCAAAUCAGUUCGAGCACCCUUUCACUGAAAUUACCUGCAUUUACAGACUGCUGAUGCUCACUGCUCUGGCUGCAGAGAUACCAGCGAUAGUCAUUUUGUGACUUGUAAUGUUUGAGAAGUUUCAGAUUCUGGACUCCACAUUUGUGAAAUUUUCGCUGUCAUCCAAACUUGCCAAACUCAGUUUGGUGAUUGAACUUGCACACUCUAGAGGCUGCAGUUCUUUUUAUGAAUGGUACCAUCUUUUCUAAUGUUGGAGGUAUCAGUGUUUUCAAGGAUAGCAAUUUUUAUUCAAAUCUAGGUACCCAUGAAGCUUCAGUUACGUGUGGCCAUAUAUAUGUCUUGUUUGUCUAUAACUGUUUGUGACGUGUAGUCUUAAGGUUUUCUAUAUGGCACGUGUGGUCCUGUAGACAGUUGUGACUCCAAGAUUGGCCACAAUACUCCUACUUUACAAAGGUUUAUCCCCAAAAGUACUCAUGAAUGUUCAAAGUUGUCCUUGUCUGAGCCCUGUUCUACCUUUCAGGUUUUUCUUGUAGCUUAGGUUGCGGCUUAGUUUGUGGUGUGGCUAGGAGUUCAGUGCAGAAAUAACUAUGGACAGUUUUAGGUGGGUGAGUGCACAUGUAAAUGGUCAGAAUUAGCUGUAGACUGCACGGAAAUGUCUGUGUAUCAUUAAGCCAGGACCAUCUGGAGGAUAGUUUUGCUGUAUGUGCAAGCGAGUAUAAGCGCUCAUGCAUAUUGUCCACUGCAUCUUUCAAGGCCUGUCAGUUUUCACAGGGAAAGCUUAAUUUAUUUUUUGAGUCAGCUAUUCGAAGCAUAAAGAAACCUGCAUGCUUGUUCCUUCACAAGUGUGAGUUCAUGUCAGAUUGUCUUCCUGUCAAAGUUUGUGCACUUGUUCCUUAAUACAACGUGCAGUUUGUUCUUGUGCAGUUGUCGUCCCCUCAGGAUAUUCUGUUGAAUAUCACUGCCCAAGAAAUUCAGCCGUGAUGAUUGUCGAUACAGUGUGCAAUGUUGCAUUUGUGAGAGUGCAGUCUAGUCCUUUGUGUCAGAUAACUCUUGUGAUGCACUCAGCACUUUGAUAUAAAAGCAUGUUUAUAAAGCAAAUAUUUUUUGAAGCGACCAGCAACGUAUCUGCUGCAAACACACAAAAGUAUGCCGAGUCACCUUUAUAUUUGUUGUCAAUAUAAAUAAAGCUUUCUCCUGGCA